GAAAUGCGAUAAGUAGUGUGAAUUGCAGAAUUCAGUGAAUCAUCGAAUCUUUGAACGCACAUUGCGCCCCUCGGUAUUCCGUGGGGCAUGCCUGUUUGAGUAUCAUGAAAUCUUCAAAGUAAAUCUUUUGUUAACUCAAUUGGUUUCUACUUUGGUAUUGGAGGUCUUUGCAGCUUCACACCUGCUCCUCUUUGUUCAUUAGCUGGAUCUCAGUGUUAUGCUUGGUUCCACUCGGCGUGAUAAGUUAUCUAUCGCUGAGGACACUGUAAAAGGUGGCCAAGGUAAAUGCAGAUGAACCGCUUCUAAUAGUCCAUUGACUUGGACAAUACUUUUAUGAUCUGAUCUCAAAUCAGGUAGGACUACCCGCUGAACUUAAGC
rnacentral:misc_RNA from 1 species